rnacentral:rRNA from 1 species
AACGUAGGAGACAAACGUUAUCCGGAGUUACUGGGCGUAAAGGGCGUGUAGGUGGUAGUGUAAGUCUGGCGUGAAAUUUUUCGGCUUAACCGGGAAAGGUCGUCGGAUACUGCACAACUAGAGGACGGUAGAGGCGUGUGGAAUUCCGGGUGUAGUGGUGAAAUGCGCAGAUAUCAGGAGGAACACCGAUGGCGAAGGCAGGUCUCUGGGCAUUAACUGACGCUGAGGAGCGAAAGCAUGGGGAGCGAACAGG